GUAAACCGUUUGCGUCUGCUAUGAUCGAACGGCGACGCGUGCGAGAAAGACGCGAUCCCUCUUUCCUUCUAUGCUCCGAGCGACCGAGCCGCCGAGCUUAUUUUUCUUCCCCUCCGCUCCUCUCUCCUCCCUCUCCUUGUCGGAAACUCAAAACGGCCUCCCUAUUCCCUUCUUUCUCCUCUCUCCUGGGGCAUGCUCUGCUCUUCCCUCGGAGAACCAGACUCAGAGAAGGCCGGGCUCCCUUCGGCAACGAUGCCAACGCUGAUGCAUCAGCGAAAGAAAGGAGAAGCCGAGAAGGUCUAAGUGGGUAUCAGAAAAGUCUGGAAUUCAGAGACAGUUGAUUGAGUCCAUUCUCAUGUCUAUUUUUAGUAGGAAAUAUAUUUCUUGGAACUUUGUUGAUCCAGAAUAUGUGAUUGAUAUAUCCUUUUUUUGUACCAUUUUAUAAUUUCAAUAGCUUGAUGAGAGGAAUAUUCUGGUGGUGUUUAUCCUACAAGGUAAGUUGUUUUGGUUGAGUUUGCAGUCCCUUGAACACAUAAUGAAACUACAAAAUGUAUGCCACUUUCUUAUAUGUUAUGCAAUUUGCUGGUUUGCUUCAGAUAGCUAUCCUUUGUAUGGUUAGGAUUCAAUUUGUUAGAGAUAGUCGACAUUUUCAUGAUUUAGUUUUUGCCAGACACUAUUGAGAAGAAAGCUUUACGCAUUACAUUUGCUUGCCAAUGGAAAAGGUCGAAAGCUCCACCAUGAUGCUGGCAUAUCAGUAGAUGUAGGAACUUUUUUUGGAAAAAAAGCCCUAUGCUUGUACGCCUAUUACAUCGCCAAAUUUUGGGGCAUUCUAGCCUAUUAAUGGUCAGAUAUACUAAGAUGUUAUACCUGAGGAGCAUGGAGAAACAUAGAGGACAUGUUAUGAGGGUUUAUGCAAAGUGUGCCAUGUGUAUCAUCCUUCUAUAUUGGUCUUUAGCCUCUCUUGUUGUCUCAUUGUGUUUAUCGUGUAACUGCAGCUGUAAUAUUGCAGUUCAGAUCAUAACUACUGUAGCUACUUCUUAAUGCUAUGAUCCAUGGUAUUCUAUUUAUUUAUGUAUUUAUUUAUUUUUUGCAAUCUUUAUCUUGAUUUAUACGGGUAACACUUGCACAUUGGGCUGUCUUAUGUUGAAUUAUAACCCUAUGGCGACCUUCUGACCUUGCCCCUUGUCAUGAUAUUGGAGUUGGAAAUUAACUUCCUAGAUAUCCUUGUGAUAAUUUUGUGGACUUUUGUUGUGAGAAGCUUAUUUGCCCAUUUGAGAUUUUCAUUCUUACAUGAUCUCCUUGUUGACCUAUACAUGAUGAUACUGUUAUUGGCAAUUUCAAUAUAUAGUUUUUGAAUUCAGCAACUGGAGUGCAUGCAAUUUAUUGAUAAAUAACUGGAAAUACGAUCAUGUCUAUUGGAAUGUUGUAUUGAGUCAUAACGUGUAUCUGGUACGUGGAUGUAUUGUCUAUUCAUGUAAUUGUUUAGUAACAUUCAGAUGUGAGAUGUAUAUGGGCAAUGACAUGCUGUGUUCAUACACUUCUAGCUAAUGUUUUAUAAAAUUGUAUAAAAAGCUUUUAUUUAUAUUACCUUCUGUUGGCAAGCAGCUCUGAAGGGCUAGGUAUGUAAAAGAAUUCAGAAUCUUUCACUUGAACAACAUUAGGAAAAAGUGACCAACCGGAAAAAAAAAA